ensembl:lncRNA
UUCCUGGGUUAGGAGUCACAAAGACAGAAGGGAGCAAAGGAAUUUCUCUGCUUAUACUUUGCCUGGGUUUUGAGGGUAUGAUGCCCAUGCCAGGGACCGGCAGCUGAAUGAGGUUAGGUAACUUACCCAAAGUCACACAUUUUCUCACUAAAGCAUGAAGAAAAACUUUGAGCUGAGUUGGAGGGGAAGGAGAUGAUGAAGGGGAUUGAGGAGAAAGGAGAAAGAUUAGUUAAGUGUAGAUAACAUAUUACUAGGGGGGCAGCCAGGUGGCUCAGUAGAUAAGAGUCAGGCAUAGAGAUGGGAGAUCUGGGUUCAAAUUUGGCCUCAGACACUUCUUAGCUGGGUUACUCUGAGCAAAUCACUUAACCCCCAUUGCCUAGCCCUUACCGCUCUUCUGCCUUGGAACCAAAAUCUAGUAUUGAUUCUGGGACAGAAGGAAAGGGUUUAAAAAAAAGAAUCAAUUAAAGAAAAACAAAAGGAUCAUCUUGUAGGGAGGGCUCAGCUGAGAUUAGAUGACAUAAAAUGAUUGAGAAAGGAGUGAACUCAGUUGUGUGAUUUCCUCUAGCUCCAUUGAACAGAACGUGAGUAGGCGUGAGGGAGGCAGAUGGUAGGAGUAAUCCAGGAUUGGGAUUUGGCAAACUGUGAAAGCUGAUAGGACAUAGGAGGAAGAAAUUAGAGAGUAGAAAAUAGCGUAGAGUUGAAUUUGCUCAACAAAAGGCUGAAACUAGGAAGGAGAGUGUAGCCUGGGUAAGGGUGAGGGCCCGAAAGAGUUCCUGAGAACAGAAGGACUGGAGCUUCUGGUUAAAACAAAGAUGCAACAGUGAUUUCUUUGGCCCUCUCUGCCUGAAGUCCAGGAAGUCCCACUAUUACAGCUACCAUUCCUCCUCCUUCUCCUGCUGCUGCUACUACUCCAACUGCUGUUGCUGCUACAACUACUGCUGCUACUACUAUUGCUACUGCUACAACUACUAUUACUGCUACAACAACUACUACUACUGCUACAAAUACUACUAUUACUACUAUUGCCACAACUACUACUACCACUACUACUAUUACUGCUACAACUACUACUACUAUUACUACUGCUACAAUUACCACUAAUACCACAACUACAACUACUACUAUUACUCCUUCUGCUACAUCUACUACUGCUGCUACUACUAUUACUACUGCUACAACUACUAUUACUGCUACAACUACUACUGCUGCUACUACUACUUCAAAUACUAUUACUACUAUUGCCACAACUAUUAUUACCACUACUACUAUUAUUGCUACAACAACUACUACUAUUACUACUGCUACAACUACUACUAUUACCACAGCUACCACAACUACUACUACUAUUACUACUACUACUGCUGCUGCUACAACUACAACUAUUAUUGCUAUAGCUACAACUAUUACUACUGCUACAAUUACUGUUACUACUUCUACUACUUUUAUUACUAUUGCUACAACUACUACUGCUGCUGCUAUAAUUCCCCACUCACUGAAAAGGCAAGCAAAAUAAUAACUAUACAUGAGAAAUCAUGCAACCCAUAUUUCCAUAUUAGCAAUAUCAUGAAAAAAAAUACCCCAAAGUGAAGAAGACAAGAAAAUUCUACUUCAGUUUAUAUUUAAAGUAUAUCAGCUUUCUCUCUGGAGGUAGAUAGCAUUUUUUCAUUAUAAGUUCUUUGGAACUGUCCUAGAUUGAUCAGAGUAGCCAAGUGUUUCACAGUUGGUAACCAUUAUAACAUUUUUGUUAAUGUACAUAAAGAUUUUUUACUCCUCACUUCACUUUGUUUCAGUUCAUCUAGGUCUUACCAUGGUUUUUUUUAAACCACUCCCCUCCUCAUUUCUUAUAGCACAGUAAUAUUCCAUAACAUUUAUAUGCCACAACUUGUUCAGUCCUUCCACAAUCAGUGAGCAUCUCUUCAAUGUCUAAUUCGUUGCCACCAGGAAAAGAGCUGCUAUAAAUAUUUUUGUACAUAUUUUCUUUUUCUUUGAUUUUCUUUGGGGUACAGACCUAUUCAUUGUAUUUCUAGGUCAAAGAAUAUAUCAUUUUAUAGCCCUUUGGACAUAAUUCCAAAUUCUUCUCCAGAACAAAUUUGCCAACUCCAACAACAGUUUAUUAGUGUGCUUAUUUUGCUUUAUCCCCUCCAGCAUUUAUCAUUUCUGAUAGGUAUGAAAUGGUAUCUCAGAGUUGGGUUAAUUUUUCUGCCUCUAAUCAAUAGUGAUUUACAGCAUUUUUUCUUAAGACUAUUGAUAGCUUUGAUUUUUUUUUCUGCUGAAAACUGCCUGUAGGUAUUCUCUAACUAUUUAUUAAUUAGGAUGUGGUUUUUAGUUUUUAUAAAUUUUUCUCAGUUUCCUAUAUAUUUGAGAAAUAACACUUUUAUCAGAGAAACUUGCUGUAAACAAAUUUUUAUAUUACUUAAUUGUCUAUGGAACCUUUUAGCAAGACUUAAUUUCCCUGUUUAUCUCUUUUAA